UAUCUCUGAGUACGGACCGCAGCAUGUCCCUACUGGCAGAGAGCUGUAACUCAACCUUGCCUUCCAUGACAUCGUCAAGCAGUUUGAGAAGCAGGGCCCAGAUGGACCUCAGGUCCCACUGCGGCAUCAGCUGCUGCAGGUCAUUGUGAGAGUCCUCCAGUACCGCAUGCUGCUCACAGAUUACUUAAACAACCUUUCCCCUGAUUCUAAAGAAUAUGAGGAUACACAAGCUGCCUUAGUAAUCGUGUCAGGGUGGCAGACCAGGCUAAUGACAAUCUAAGCAAGGGGUAAGGUCAGUGUGUAUGGUGUUUCUGUAUUUAUUUCAGACUACUGUGUACAUUUGUUCAUGCAAGUGUUUGCUAGAGGUAAACAUGACAGCUCAGAUUUCAGGUUUUCCAUGUGUAAAUCCUUCUUCAUUCUGGAUGACAACACUAUUGUGAGUGAACCCACGUCAAUGAUCUUGGAGACGGCUAUCUCUUUACUUUCACUGGGCUCUGUUGCCUAUUGAUUAAAUGAGAGGGUGAGGAAAGAUGAUGUCAUCAAAAGAUCCCAGGUGCAUCGUAACAAAGGGUGCAGUGUGAGAGAAGACAUGACAUACAUUGUGAAACACACAACACACCUCACACAGAUCAUCCUAAAACAGAUCAUCUCUCCGCUCUCUCACAUAAUCCUUACCAUCUCUCCGUCUCUCACAUAAUCCUUACCAUCUCUCCGUCUCUCACAUAAUCCUUACCAUCUCUCCGUCUCUCACA